rnacentral:rRNA from 1 species
AGGGACACCAAAAGGAAGGCAGUCAGCUGGCCUUUACUGACGCUGAGGGACGAAAGCGUGGGUAGCGAACGGGAUUAGAUACCCCGGUAGUCCACGCCGUAAAUGAUGGAUACUGGACAUUGGUACUCGAUCGUAUCAGUGUCUCAAGCUAACGCAUUAAGUAUCCCGCCUGGGGAGUACGGUCGCAAGAUUAAAACUCAAAGGAAUAGACGGGGACCCACACAAGCGGUGGAGCAUGUGGUUUAAUUCGACAAUAAGCGAGGAACCUUACCAGGGCUUGACAUCCCGAGAAUUCUUUAGAAAUAGAGAAGUGCCUUUAUGGAACUCGGUGACAGGUGCUGCAUGGUUGUCGUCAGCUCGUGCCUUGAGGUGUUCGGUUAAGUCCGUAAACGAGCGCAACCCUAGUCCUAUGUUGUAUAUUUCAUAGGAGACUGCCUUGUCCAACGAGGAGGAAGGUUAGGAUGACGUCAAAUCAGCAUGGCCCUUAUGUCCUGGGCGACACACGUGCUACAAUGGUCGGUACAAUGGGUAGCCAACCCGCGAGGGGGAGCCAAUCCCAUCAAAGCCGGUCCAAGUUCGGAUUGGAGGCUGCAACUCGCCUCCAUGAAGUUGGAAUCGCUAGUAAUCGCGCAUCAGCCUGGCGCGGUGA